GAUGAACGCUGGCGGCGUGCCUAAUACAUGCAAGUCGAGCGAACAGACGAGGAGCUUGCUCCUCUGACGUUAGCGGCGGACGGGUGAGUAACACGUGGAUAACCUACCUAUAAGACUGGGAUAACUUCGGGAAACCGGAGCUAAUACCGGAUAAUAUAUUGAACCGCAUGGUUCAAUAGUGAAAGACGGUUUUGCUGUCACUUAUAGAUGGAUCCGCGCCGCAUUAGCUAGUUGGUAAGGUAACGGCUUACCAAGGCAACGAUGCGUAGCCGACCUGAGAGGGUGAUCGGCCGCACGGGAACUGAGACGCGGUCCAGACCCCUACGGGAGGCAGCAGUAGGGCAUCUUCCGCAAUGGGCGAAAGCCUGACGGAGCAACGCCGCGUGAGUGAUGAAGGUCUUCGGAUCGUAAAACACUGUUAUUAGGGAAGAACAAAUGUGUAAGUAACUAUGCACGUCUUGACGGUACCUAAUCAGAAAGCCACGGCUAACUACGUG
rnacentral:rRNA from 1 species